rnacentral:tRNA from 1 species
GGGGGCGAAGGGGGUCUGGUGGCCUUCCCAGUCUUCAAAACUGUGCGCGAGGCGAUGAUGUCGUCUUGGGUGGGUUCGAUUCCCACACGCUCCCGCCA